AUGGCCAAGCGGAGACCAGUGACGGGUGGUGUUCCUCAGGUGUCGGUGCUGUUGUACAUCCUUGUCGGUGACAUGGACAGCUCCCUUGUCCAGGCAGCGCUGACUCAGCCGCCCUCAGUGUCAGCGAACCUGGGAGAAACUGUCCGGAUCACCUGCUCCGGGGUUGACAGCAGCAUCAGCAAUGAUGCCGGCUGGUACCAGCUGAAGACACCUGGCAGUGCCCCUGUCACUGUGAUCUAUGAGAGCAGCAACAGACCCUCAGGCAUCCCUUCACGAUUCUCCGGAUCCAGGUCUGACUCCACGGGCACAUUAACCAUCGCUGGGGUCCAAGCCAAGGUCACAGCUAUUACUGUGGUGGCAAGGACAGCAGCAGUGGUGCUGUUAUAG